CCGAGACCACCCGCGUCCCCACCUGGCUCUCGGGGCACAGCCGCCCCACACCGGGCGCCCGGGACGUCGGGGACUUGGUUCCCCCGCGCCCGGGGCCCGGGAUUCCGAGUGCGCCCCGGAGCCGCCCCCGCUCCAGUUAGGGCACCAGAUCUCUUUUGAUUGAAGGCGCCAUAGAAUGAGUAAGUGAAGGAAGAAAGAGACCCUUGGUGUCUGUGCCAGAACAGCUCACAGCCUGCGUCUGAGCUACAAGGAAGAAGAGGCAAGAAGCUCACAAGAUCUGUUCCAAGCAAGCUGUGCCUCCCACCAGGAUUUUAAGCUGCUAUACACCUGGUCCACUGUGAUGAGGAUCAAGAGGAGAGAGAUUUGCAGCCCUCUCCACACCUCCUGUUCUGAUAACUUGAGCUCCUGAUUUUCACAAAGCAAUCCACAUUAUCUCAUUUAAAUCCUCUUGUAUGGAAAAGACAGCAAAGGUUAUUAUCCUUAUCCACACCAAUGGCUCUUAUUUGUACCAAGUCCUGUAGUUUAUGAAGGAUUCGUACAUACAGACUAUCUCAGAGUUCCCAAUUGUCCAAUAAGAGAGAACCCUGGAAAAUGUUCUGAAAAUUUGGACUCCUAGGCUCCCAUAGUUUAAGAAAUAGCAGUUGGCAGGUGUAUCUGGCCUGCAGAAGUGUUUUAUUUGGUGGAGUUUAGAAAAAAAUAAAUGAAAUCAAUAUGG